rnacentral:rRNA from 1 species
GACGAACGCUGGCGGCGUGCUUAACACAUGCAAGUCGAACGGAAAGGCCCUGCUUUUGUGGGGUGCUCGAGUGGCGAACGGGUGAGUAACACGUGAGUAACCUGCCCUUGACUUUGGGAUAACUUCAGGAAACUGGGGCUAAUACCGGAUAGGAGCUCCUGCUGCAUGGUGGGGGGUGGAAAGUUUCGGCGGUUGGGGAUGGACUCGCGGCUUAUCAGCUUGUUGGUGGGGUAGGGGCUUACCAAGGCUUUGACGGGUAGCCGGCCUGAGAGGGUGACCGGCCACAUUGGGACUGAGGUACGGCCCAGACUCCUACGGGAGGCAGCAGUGGGGAAUAUUGCACAAUGGGCGGAAGCCUGAUGCAGCAACGCCGCGUGCGGGAUGACGGCCUUCGGGUUGUAAACCGCUUUCGCCUGUGACGAAGCGUGAGUGACGGUAAUGGGUAAAGAAGCACCGGCUAACUACGUG